CCCAAACAGAAGAGUUACUUCAUCAUCUCAGCUGAGGAUCCUAAUAGGGUUCGAACCAACGCCAGCCUGACUCUGUUUGGCAGUGGUUUUGACAGUGAUGAAGAGCUGCCCCCGCCCUUCCUCAGCGCCACCCAACCUGCGUACAGCCUGCCAGGCUCUGACGGAUACUCCAGCCAUGUGGAGUCUGAUGUGUUCAGCCAUGGUCAGACUGAGAG